GGAGGGAUGGCUGAGUGGUCGAAAGCGGCGGUCUUGAAAACCGUUGAGGUUCACGCCUCCGUGGGUUCGAAUCCUACUCCCUCCGCCA
rnacentral:tRNA from 1 species